UACGUAGGGUGCAAGCGUUGUCCGGAAUUACUGGGCGUAAAGGGCUCGUAGGCGGCCAACUAAGUCCGACGUGAAAUCCCCAGGCUCAACCUGGGAACUGCGUCGGAUACUGGAUGGCUUGAAUUCGGGAGAGGGAUGCAGAAUUCCAGGUGUAGCGGUGAAAUGCGUAGAUAUCUGGAGGAACACCGGUGGCGAAGGCGGCAUCCUGGACCGGCAUUGACGCUGAGGCGCGGAAAGCCAGGGGAGCAAAGCGGG
rnacentral:rRNA from 1 species